rnacentral:rRNA from 1 species
UACAGAGGGUGCAAGCGUUAAUCGGAAUUACUGGGCGUAAAGGGCGCGUAGGUGGAGACUUAAGUCAGUUGUGAAAUACCCGAGCUUAACUUGGGCAGGUCAUCUGAAACUGGGUCACUAGAGUACAGUAGAGGGUAGUGGAAUUUCCGGAGUAGCGGUGAAAUGCGUAGAUAUCGGAAGGAACACCAGUGGCGAAGGCGGCUACCUGGACUGAUACUGACACUGAGGCGCGAAAGCGUGGGGAGCAAACAGG